rnacentral:rRNA from 1 species
AUGAUUCGUUCGGGCGGCUCAGACGGGCACGUCCUUGGGUGGGACCGGCACAUCGCGCGGUCGAGGCUCCCGCGCGAAGUGAAGGCGCAGGCCAUGGGCAUACCGUGCCUGUGCAUGGCCGGCGACCUAGUAUGCACCGGCUCCAUCGACAAGACCAUCGGGCUGUGGUGCCAUCAGCCGUGCGGCGGCCUUGCCAAGGUCGGCACCGUUGGGGGCCAAGAGGGCCCUGUGAAAUGCACCCAGGCAUCCAUGUUUAGGGCCAGCAAUGGCUAUAUGGUGUACAUCAGCGGCCGCGACAAGAGCAUCAGAGUAUUGUGCGUGCCGAGUGGGGCCAACGGCAAUGAGCGGCCACGAGAGACAUGA